rnacentral:rRNA from 1 species
UACGGGGGGGGCAAGCGUUGUUCGGAAUUACUGGGCGUAAAGGGCGCGUAGGCGGCCUGCUAAGUCGGACGUGAAAUCCCCCGGCUCAACCGGGGAACUGCGUCCGAUACUGGUGGGCUCGAAUCCGGGAGAGGGAUGUGGAAUUCCAGGUGUAGCGGUGAAAUGCGUAGAUAUCGUUUGGAACGCCAAAGGUGAAAACAGACAGCUGGGAGUGUGCUGACGCUGAGACACGAAAGCCAGGGGAGCGAACGGG